UACGAAGGGGGCUAGCGUUUUUCGGAUUUACUGGGCGUCAAGCGCGUGUAGGCGGGUCGUUAAGUUGGAGGUGGAAUCCCGAGGCUCAACCUCGGAACUGCCUUCAAAACUGGCGACCUGGAGCAAGAUAGAGGCGAGUGGAAUUGCGAGUGUAUAGGUGAAAUUCGUAGAUAGUCGCAGGAACACCAGUGGCGAAGGGGACUCGCUGGAUCUUUGCUGACGCUGAGACGCGAAAGCGUGGGGAGCAAACAGG
rnacentral:rRNA from 1 species